rnacentral:rRNA from 1 species
AGCGAACGCUGGCGGCAGGCUUAACACAUGCAAGUCGAGCGGGCACUUCGGUGUCAGCGGCCGAUGGGUGAGUAACACGUGGGAACGUACCCUUCGGUUCGGAAUAACGCUGGGAAACUAGCGCUAAUACCGGAUACGCCCUUUUGGGGAAAGGUUUACUGCGGAAGGUUCGGCCCGCGUCUGAUUAGCUAGUUGGUGGGGUAAUGGCCUACCAAGGCGACGAUCAGUAGCUGGUCUGAGAGGAUGCUCAGCCACACUGGGACUGAGACACGGCCCAGACUCCUACGCGAGGCAGCAGUGGGGAAUAGUGGACAAUGGGCGCAAGCCUGAUGCAGCCAGGCCGCGUGAGUGAUGAAGGCCUUAGGGUUGUAAAGCUCUUUUGUCCGGGACGAUAAUGACGGUACCGAAAGAAUAAGCCCCGGCUAACUUCGUG